UGAGAAGUCAGAAAGCAAUUAUUCUAGAUUCAUCAACAAAAUACAGCUAGCCUAAGCCACCCAUACAUGAAUUCCUCCUUCACCAUUGAGUGCUUACCACACCAUUAUCUUGUGGCUAGAAACAGUCCACUGAUCUCUACCAUCCCCCAUUUAGGUCACCCAUUACCAUCAACCCUGCAUAAUGAGAAAGAGAAACAGUCCCAAGUAAUAUUCAAUUACGCAGCAACGUUAAAGCAGGGAGAGACAAAAAAUAAGAAAAUAGUAAUCCAGAGCCUAAACCCAAAAACCUUAUCUGGCGAUCAAUUAAUCGCUAAGAGGCCAGCAGCCUAGAAUCAACCCCAAAAGAGACGAAAAAUCCUGGCAAACCAAACAACGCAGAGGAAGCAUCAAAUAAUCCAGCAACUAAACACAAAACCCAAAAAAUCCAUAUCCAGACACCAUCAAGCCAUAAACCUGCAAACAAUUCCAUAGACAUCUACAAAUACUAGACUAAAACCCAACAAACCAAAUCACUAAUUACCACUCAAGUCGAUCCUGCCAUUGUCCUUAAUCUCCUACGAAACGACCACCUCUUGUCAAAUAAAAAAAGUCAGAAACAAAAGAAGACCAUAAGCAAAGAACAUCAAAAUUGGCAGAAAAAGUUGAAUAAAGAAGUUGGUAGAAAUCCUUGAAGUUUCGAUGUGAACGAAGAAUCUACGUUGCUGAAGGAAUAAUUGGUAGUGAUAGGCUGGUGACAAAAGGCGACGAACAAGCUUGGCAGCUAGCAGCCAGCAACGACAAUAACGGUGACAAGUAACGAUUAGCACGACUUCUGAAGAUCUGAACGAUGAAGACAAAGAGUUGGACGAAAGAAACAACAUACUGAAAGUUAGAGAAGAUCCGACGGUGGAAGAAGCUGGAACAAAAAAAGAAAAACCCGAAGCUUGAACUUCAAAUCUGUGCCUUUAGGAAGUGAUUUAAAAAAAAAAAAAAAGCUCGUAUUCGAAAUGAGAAGGGUGAAAAGCAACAGUGGGGAAAAUUUUGGAUUGAUUGGUUGUCAGUCGAUGACGGAGUACGACGGCACCGGUGGUGGAGCGCGACGCACCGGUAGUAGAAUCUGGAAACUUUUAAAAUUUUCAACCUGGAUGCUUCUGUCUCUAGAGAGAGAAGGAGAGAAAGUUAAGUGUAGGGAGAGAAAAAAAAUGGCAAAAUGGAAAGAAAAGCUUAAAAGUAAGCUUUUAUAGGAUUAAUAAAAUGGUGUCAUUUUGGUCAGGAAAAUCGAGUUCGCUUUGACCCGUUUAAAGAUCCG
rnacentral:lncRNA from 1 species